rnacentral:rRNA from 1 species
AUUGAACGCUGGCGGCAUGCCUAACACAUGCAAGUCGAACGGCAGCACAGUAUGUAGCAAUACAUAUGGGUGGCGAGUGGCGGACGGGUGAGUAACGCGUAGGAAUCUGCCCUAUAGUGGGGGACAACCCGACGAAAGUCGGGCUAAUACCGCAUACGCCUGCGGGGAAAGGCUUCGGCCGCUAUUGGAUGAGCCCGCGUCGGAUUAGCUAGUUGGUGAGGUAAUGGCUCACCAAGGCGACGAUCCGUAGCUGGUCUGAGAGGACGAUCAGCCACACUGGGACUGAGACACGGCCCAGACUCCUACGGGAGGCAGCAGUGGGGAAUAUUGCGCAAUGGGGGAAACCCUGACGCAGCAACGCCGCGUGAGUGAGGAAGGACUUCGGUCUGUAAAGCUCUGUAAUGUGGAAAAUGGUUAGUGGUCUAAUAGGCCAUUGAUUUGAUGGUACACAUAGAGGAAGCACCGGCUAACUUCGUGCCAGCAGCCG